CGCUGGCGGCAGGCCUAACACAUGCAAGUCGGACGAGAGGUAGCUUCGGCUACUGGCAGAGUGGCGCACGGGUGAGUAACGCGUGGGGACCUACCUCUUAGUGGGGGAUAACGGUUGGAAACGACCGCUAAUACCGCAUACGCCCUUCGGGGGAAAGAUUUAUCGCUAAGAGAUGGACCCGCGUUGGAUUAGAUAGUUGGUGAGGUAACGGCUCACCAAGUCAGCGAUCCAUAGCUGGUUUGAGAGGAUGAUCAGCCACACUGGGACUGAGACACGGCCCAGACUCCUACGGGAGGCAGCAGUGGGGAAUAUUGGACAAAUGGGGGCAACCCUGAUCCAGCCAUGCCGCGUGAGUGAAGAAGGCCUUCGGGUUGUAAAGCUCUUUCAGAUGCCAAGAUGA
rnacentral:rRNA from 1 species